rnacentral:lncRNA from 1 species
GCUCACACGGGAGCCCCUCCUCCCCUCAGCUUCACUCCAUCACCCUCCUCCCUCACCAGCGUUAGCGAACAUUUACUGAAUGUUCACCGUAGCCAGGCUCUGGAAAGCGCUUUAGAACAGCCCCGUUUGACAGCUGAGGAGACCGAACCCGAACCUAAAGGAGACAGACUUGGGGUUGAACCCCGGCGGGCUUUGCCUGGAGCUGCGGAAACCGAGAGCCGGGGGAGUGGGUGGGGCCCGGGAGGGGCGGUCCAAUCAGAAGAGACAGAUGACCCGCCCACAGACCCCCGGCCAAACCCUGCUGGGCCGGUGGUUUUCAGGUGUAUUCGCUUCACUCACUGGUUUAACGGAGUUUCGUCGAGCUUGUGCUCUGAGGCGGGACCAGAGUUGGGCAAGCCCCGCCCCCAUCCUCCAUCCUCGCCCCUCCCCCGGCUCAGCGAGCCCCGCCCCGCCCUGAGACCGCAGGCGUGCGCAGGUGGCCGGCCGGCGCGGCAGGUACGGUGGUGGGAGCAGGCGUGGAGGUUAGGGGCGUUCGUCCUGCCUCGAGUGGGCAGGUGUCCCGGCUCAAGGCAGGCCCAGAGGGACCGCCGAGAUCAUCCAGUGCAACCCCUGCACUUACCAAGGAGAAAGCUCUGUCUGUGCCAGGUGCUGUUGAACAUGACAGAUGUGAGCUGAGCCCACUGGCGCCCAGGGGUGAGGUGGACUUUCAAGGAAUAACCCUACAAACAUGGGGAUGUCCUCGCUGGGAAUGGUGAGCCUGCCUUCUGAUUCCUUGUCGCCAGAGGGGGUCUGAGGGAAUCACAGCCCUCCAGUAUCUGGGCCGGGCCUGAGGCCUGGGAGCGGCCUCCUCUGCCCACAGUGACCUCCAAUCAAGGUCUUAAUUACAGCUGCCUGCCCUAUGGUGGCCUCUCAUGGUGACGUCUUCAUAUGGCCCUGGCACCAUCAAGUUUGCUGGUCUCCCCUCCCGGGCCCCUCCAAACAAGUCUCAGGGGGCCCAUCUUUCUGUGGGACAAGUCUGGCCUGGGCUGGGCUGUGGGGGUCAACCUGCCCCUUUCCCUCCCACCCCUACUUCUUAAAGUGCCCAGAGUUCCAGGACAUAGGUUCAGUUAGAAAAAAGAUACUUCUUGAGCAGUGGAGGUGAGAGGACGAGGGUCAUCACCAAGGCCCUCAGAGAAUAAUUUAAGACACUGAACAAAGAUCACAGACCCGGAGGCAGCUUGGUGAGGAAGACAGAGCACCCGAGACAUCAGGGGGCCUGACUCUUGGCUUGGCGACCUUUCUGCUAUGUAGCCUUGGGAAGUCCCUGAGCCUUGGUUUCUCAUCUGUAAAAUGGGGUUAAACAUACCUAACGUUGUCAUGUUAAGUGUUAAAGAAUUAAAUAGGAAAAUACUUCGUAAACUGGAAGGUGUACAUGUGCUGGCAAAAUAAGGGGAUGAGAUUAAUAAAACAAACGAUAUCAAGCCCCUCCUUGGUUCA